AACGAACGCUGGCGGCAUGCCUAACACAUGCAAGUCGAACGAGACCUUCGGGUCUAGUGGCGCACGGGUGCGUAACGCGUGGGAAUCUGCCCUUGGGUACGGAAUAACAGUUAGAAAUGACUGCUAAUACCGUAUAAUGACUUCGGUCCAAAGAUUUAUCGCCCAAGGAUGAGCCCGCGUAGGAUUAGCUUGUUGGUGAGGUAAAAGCUCACCAAGGCGACGAUCCAGCUGGUCUGAGAGGAUGAUCAGCCACGCUGGGACUGAGACACGGCCCAGACUCUACGGGAGGCAGCAGUGGGAAUAUUGGACAAUGGGCGAAAGCCUGAUCCAGCAAUGCCGCGUGAGUGAUG
rnacentral:rRNA from 1 species